rnacentral:rRNA from 1 species
GUGGACGACGUCAAGUCAUCAUGGCCCUUAUGCCCAGGGCGACACACGUGCUACAAUGGCAUAUACAAUGAGACGCAAUACCGCGAGGUGGAGCAAAUCUAUAAAAUAUGUCCCAGUUCGGAUUGUUCUCUGCAACUCGAGAGCAUGAAGCCGGAAUCGCUAGUAAUCGUAGAUCAGCCAUGCUACGGUGAAUACGUUCCCGGGUCUUGUACUCACCGCCCGUCACACCAUGGGAGUUGAUUUCACUCGAAGCCGGAAUACUAAACUAGUUACCGUCCACAGUGGAAUCAGCGACUGGGGUGAAGUCGUAACAAGGUAACCGUAGGAGAACCUGCGGUUGGAUCACCUCCUUUCUAG